UUUAAUGGUUUUUUUGGCUGUUUUUGUGGUGUACCAUCCCAUUUCGUAAGCUAAAGCAAUGCAUAUCGUCUCUGCCUGUAUUUAAUUCCAAUACUUAUUAAAGUGCUAUUAAGUUCCUUUUAGCCUAUUAACUGGCAAUUCAAUGAGUUUGAAAAGUGAGUUUUCUUCUUUGGCAAUCUCCUUUUGUGUUAGCUUCUAAGUUUAUAGUGUAACUUGAGAAAGAAUUCUAUUUCGUCGAACUUCUGCCUGCUAAUUUUGGUUCAAUCCAAAUGUUGGUGCUGAAAUUCAAAUUCAAAGGGCAGCCUUCCCCUUCCCCCCCUCCAUUUAUGCCAUGGGAGGAGACCUUGUUCUCCCAGUAGAAGUGCGAGAAUUUUCAUUUUGGGGUUCAAUAUCAUCUUUUUAGCAUUCAACUCUUUACUACAUGGAUGUUUAUUUGCUUUUUCCCCCUCUCUUGAGAAGGUUUUGCUUUCUGAUUUCCAUGUCAAUUUGUUCUUGGUAAGAGCUGAAUGUUCCUUGGUGUAAUACCAUCCAUUAGAUUGUCAUCCCAACUUCAGAAGACUACCCGCGUUGCACAUUUACCAGAAUCUCAUGACAUUGCCUUUUAUGGGCUGAGUUGUAUUUGACUUCUGACUGCUCUAGGCAAAAAUCAGGCCUAACCCUAUUUGUAAAAAUCCAAUUGAAGUGUUGGAUUGCAUCUAAUUGAUCAUUUUUAUUGUUAUUAUUGAGCUGGUAAAUUUAUUUGUGGAGCUUAUUCUUACAUUAAUCAGUUGAACUAAUUGAAUUCUAAUUAUCUUUUUUCAGUGUUGAUCAUUUGCAUCUUCAAAAUUUUGUCAUUUGUUAUUUUGGUUCAUUAAGAGGAGGCACUGCAUAUCACCAAUAGAGAAAUCAAAUCACUCUUCUGGGUACAUGGUUUCAUAAAAAUCCUAAUUUUGUAGGGUGAGAUUGACUAAAUGAGACGACUGAUAGUGAACUACCAUUUGCGUAUUUAGUCCUUUGGCCAUUUAAAAGUGUUUUGGGAGAGGGUUUGGAAGAGAGAAUUGUUUAGGGCUUACAUCUAGCUUUAGUACUCUGCCAUUUGGUAAGUCAGUUCACUAGCUUGUAGAUGAAAGCUUCUUUCCUAUUUCAAUCCCAACAACCUGAAUAGGUGGCUUGAAUGUUUGAUAUUUUAUGCUUUGAACAACUUAUAAAUAUGUAUUUAUCCUCCCUUCAGCUAACAGUUCCCUUUCACCAUUGCUAAAAGCUAAUUGGGAAAGAAGAAAGAGGUUUUACAUUGAAAAAAAAAAUGUCAGAGCUUUGAAGCACUGAUUGAUUAAUGGAAUACUAGCUUUAUUCAAACAAUUAAAUGUUUACACAGUGUUUAUUCAAAGGGACAUUAAUGCAUGUGGACCAUCAAUUCUUAAAAGCCUCAUGUUACAAAAGUAUUCUGGAAUCUAUUUCUGGAAGGAAAAAAUUUGUUAGAUGUGAGUUUUGGUCAGCAAAGGCACCAUAGCAUGAAGCAACAUUCAUGUCAUAAUUAAUAUAUUUUUUAAAACUAUUUCCUGUAAUGUAGGAUGUGUUUCUAUUUGUUUGGUUAACAGCUUGUUGUGGAUGUUUUUUAUUUUCCAAAUUAUUUGUUUUAUAUAGCUUCAUGUUUAAACAACUUGUAGAUCUUAAAGUGAAUGUCUUAAGUUGCUGACGAUCUCCUUUUACAUGUUUCAGCCAUCUGUUAGAAAGCAACACAAUGCAGGUUACAAGCACAAGGCAAAUGUGAGAGCCUACUAUCAACAGUUUGAGGAGCAACAAACCCAAAGUUUAAUUGACCAAAGAAUAAAGGAACAUCUUGGCCAAACUGCAGCAUUCCAGCAGGUUGGAGCUGCAUACAAUCAGCAUUUACUGGUACAAAGGCCCCGCCUUCCUGUUCUACCAACGCCAGUAAUGCCCAUUGCAGGGAAUCCACAAUUACCUGCAAAUACACCACUAAUUCCUGGGAUUAGGCCUCCUGUUCUUCCAAGACCUAUACAUGGUGCUCCAGGCUAUUUGUCUGCUCCAGGCAUGCCACAAAUGGUGGCACCACCUGGUGCACCUCCCUUACCUGGUCAAGUAAAUGGUGUUCAAAGGCCUCCCAUGGGGAUUUCCCCAACAACUGUUCCUGGGAGUAUGCCAGCACCUGCUGCUUCUAGAGGUGCCCCUUCCAUGGUUCCACCUGCUACUUACCAAGCAAAUCCAGCAGCACCCACAAGUGGAGGCUUUGACAGCUUCAUUAACGCUCCCGCUCCGGCUUCGGCUCCAGCUCCAGCUCCUGAGGCUAAUCAUUAGUCUCAUCAAAUUGGCAAUGAGAAGAAACCAAAAACGCCACCUCUACACUGUGAUGCCUAUAUAAAUUUUCUAGAAUGGUUGGAUACCAUCCAUCAUUUUUGUAAACAUUAGCUAUUGUAAUAUGAUAACUAGAUUCAACUUAAAAGGGCUGCAUUUUCCCUGAAUUGAAAUUUUAUAUGAUUUGCUUAGAUUCUGUGGUAGAAUUCUGAUUGAUGUCUUCAGUGAUUUGAUGUUGAUUACAAGGACGAGAAUGUAUUUUUUGGCAUCUUGCACUAGAAGAGCUUUGUGUCCACUUGGGUUCUAAAUGACGGUACUCAAUGUCUAAUGCCUUCUAACUUGAGUUUCUGGACCACUGAGUCUGUAUGUGAUGAAUCAUCUUAUGAUAGCCAUGUUUUACGCAUACUCGGUGCUACAACUAAAAUAUACGUAAAUAAAAAGGGAUUUACCCAAAGAUUUAUGUACUUAAAAUCCUCGAGUAGUGUCCAAUGUUGUGUUAUUCUCUAUAAUUUUUCCCCUUGUAAUAUUUUUCCGACAGGAAGAACAAAAUGGCGUAGUCCUUUGUAAUGAAUUCAGUUU
rnacentral:misc_RNA from 1 species